AAAAGGCAAAGAUAUAUAGUCACAACGAUGUUCUCAAAUUCUUGGUGUCCAAUGUAUUCUGCUUUGAACUCCUCAUUUUAUAGAUGUGUUGUCUGUUUCUGAAUCUGAAAGCAAACAGGGAGCUUAAGUAUACUGAAAGCACAAUGACUUAACUAGUUUUUAUAUUAUCCAAGGGAACUUUCCUAUUAUGUCCACACAUCCCCAAUAUAAUCCAGGCUGAAAUUCUAAGUGCACUAAUUAGGGAUUAAGUUCUUCUCAACACUGUUGGAUUUCUGAGUAAGCACACAUAGGAUCCAGUUUGCAAGAGCUUCCUCCAAUAUCACUUAGGAUUGAAACGUGCUGUUGGAGAGAGCUUAAGGCUACGUCCUUACUCAGGAAAACCUCAUUUUAAUUUUCAACCCAGAGUAGUUGAGGCCCUGGUAUAGCAGAAAGCCUCCCCUUUUGGCACAGCAGGGAUGCAAACGGGAGAAAAUGCACAUUUUGCAUCCAUCAUAUAUUCUUCCAGGUAUGUGGAUACUGGUGCAUCUUGCCAGUCAAUGGGAGAAGAUUAGAGGGAGAACUUUGUCUCUUUGGUCUGCUCCUGGGCUAUACAUUCUUGACUUGCCAACUUGGCCUCCCACCCACAUCCCCUUUUCCCUCUUGUUUUUAUUUAAGUCUGCAACCUGCCUAUCAGGCUUCCUUGCUAUAGACAUUGUUAGCUACUAGUUAAUGGGAUUAGGAAUGCAUUGCACCUAGUCCCAGACUGGCACAGAGGUGCCAUGGUUUCUGCCUUCCUCACAACAGCAGCUUCUUAUACAUUCCACUUUCAGUGUUGUGUGCUUAACCUUUGCCAUAACAUAGGUUUUUGGUUUCUGGUGAUCAGGCAUUGGGCAGGAUCAGAAGCGUGCAGGAUCAAUUCCAUGUAUAAUUUCAUCAUCUGUGGGGCUGCUCUAAUGGAGGCUACGGGACUACUGGACCAACCUUCACCAGCUGAGUGGUCAGCCAUGCCCCUGGAAAGCUAACAGGAACUCCAGCUUCUUUCCUCCCUGUUGAGAUGCUUCCAGCUGCAGACUCAUAUUCUUUACAACUUGGAGAUAUGCAAUUCAUAUUAUGAACUUGAGGUAUUAUUUUAUACCAACCAUGAAAAGAAAAGAAAAAGCCAAAAUGA